rnacentral:rRNA from 1 species
AGUGAACGCUGGCGGUAGGCCUAACACAUGCCAGUCGAACGGCAGCACAGUAAGAGCUUGCUCUUACGGGUGGCGAGUGGCGGACGGGUGAGGAAUACAUCGGAAUCUACUUUUUCGUGGGGGAUAACGUAGGGAAACUUACGCUAAUACCGCAUACGACCUACGGGUGAAAGCAGGGGAUCUUCGGACCUUGCGCGAUUGAAUGAGCCGAUGUCGGAUUAGCUAGUUGGCGGGGUAAAGGCCCACCAAGGCAACGAUCCGUAGCUGGUCUGAGAGGAUGAUCAGCCACACUGGAACUGAGACACGGUCCAGACUCCUACGGGAGGCAGCAGUGGGGAAUAUUGGACAAUGGGCGCAAGCCUGAUCCAGCCAUACCGCGUGGGUGAAGAAGGCCUUCGGGUUGUAAAGCCCUUUUGUUGGGAAAGAAAAGCAGCAGGUUAAUACCCCGCUGUUCUGACGGUACCCAAAGAAUAAGCACCGGCUAACUUCGUG